CGCGGGAGUCGCGGCGCUGCGGGUAGGAGCCGGGUUGCGGGAGACCCCAGGUUCGGUUGGGAUUCCCAGCCAGAACGGAGCUUAAGCCGGGCAGGCGAGCGAAUGACGGAGUAGCGAGCUGCACGGCGGCGUGCUGCGCUGUUGAGGACGCUGUCCCGCGCGCUCCCAGGCCGCCCCGGGGCUUGGGGUCUUCGAAGGAUAAUCGGCGCCCGGGGCCGAACAGCGGGGGCACACGGGGCGCUGCCGAAGUGCAAGGCCACGGCCAGAGCUCGAGCCCGACGCGCUGUCUGGAGUCGUAGGUUGGCGCCGUUUGGGGUCAGGGUCUGAGGCUUGGGCGCUGCCUGGGCCGAGCGGAGAUCGGGGUUUGCCUCCCGUCCCCGCUCAGGACCCUGACGUGGCUGAAGCGGCCCCGGGAGCAUGAGCGGGCAGCGCGUGGACGUCAAGGUGGUGAUGCUGGGCAAGGAGUACGUGGGCAAGACUAGCCUGGUGGAGCGCUACGUGCACGACCGCUUUCUGGUGGGGCCUUAUCAGAACGUGAGUGCAUCCGGAGGGGCCAGGCACGGUGGGCGAGGGAGUGGGGGGCCGGUAAUCUGCACCUAUGGCCCCGAUCUCUUCCCUCUCGUUGCAGACCAUCGGGGCCGCCUUCGUGGCCAAGGUGAUGUCGGUCGGAGACCGGACUGUGACAUUAGGUAUUUGGACCUCACAGACAGCAGCAGCUUUGAGCGAGCAAAGUUCUGGGUGAAGGAACUGCGCAGCCUAGAGGAGGUAGGUGAACAGACCUCACUAGAACACUAGGGGCUGGGGUUUUGUUGGCCUGUGGAGGUGACCCUUGUCUUCUGCCUCAGGGCUGCCAAAUCUACUUAUGUGGCACCAAGAGUGACCUGCUGGAAGAAGACCGGAGGCGUCGACGUGUGGACUUCCAUGACGUCCAGGACUAUGCAGACAGUAGCUGCUCCUCAGCCCUUUGGGGGGUGGGGGUGUGUGGCUGUCUGGGUGGAUCAAAGAAAAUAGGGACUGCCUUGGCUGCCAGGGCAAGGUGCUCUAGGAGGUCUUCCUGGCCUCCUUGAACUGUGGGGUCCAGGAGACUCCCUGAACUGCUAGCCCUCCCUUUUGUCUGUUUAUCUAAUUCUCAGGUAUGAGGCUUUAGUCACUUCUCUUUACAGAUAUCAAAGCUCAGCUCUUUGAAACAUCCAGCAAGACAGGCCAGAGUGUGGGUGAGUGCUGUGCUGGAGCCUCACAGCAGGAACAUGCAGGGGCACCAGAGGAAGCUGAAUAGGGCACAGAGGGCUGGGUCACUGGGAGAUCCCAGGGCUACUGGCAUUGGGCCCUCGCUGAUCAUCAUUUUUCCUGCCAGACGAGCUCUUCCAGAAAGUGGCAGAGGAUUACGUCAGUGUGGCUGCCUUCCAGGUGAUGACAGAGGACAAGGGCGUGGAUCUGGGCCAGAAGCCAAACCCCUACUUCUACAGCUGUUGUCAUCACUGAGUCAGCACUCACCUGGCCUGGGGGAAUUAAAGGAAUUCCCCGUAAGGGCUGGACCCAGCUCCUUUCUGGGCUUGGGUAGUCAAAUGUCUGAGCUACCCCAGGUCCUCAUGUCAGCAGAGUGGCGCCUGCCUGUGCUGGCCCAUGGAACGGAGACAGCAUUGGGCUGACUGUGGGCAUGAGGAGGGAUAAGGGCUGAUUUGGACCCCAGGCUUCUGCCCUGGACAGCACUUGUGUCUGCAGA
rnacentral:sRNA from 1 species